UUAGCGGUGCUUUUAAGCACCACUAAAACUUUUAGUGGAGCUUUCU
rfam:Gossypium arboreum cultivar AKA8401 contig_105521_1, whole genome shotgun sequence.